GUAGGUGGCAAGCGUUGUCCGGAAUUAUUGGGCGUAAAGCGCGCGCAGGCGGUUCUUUAAGUCUGAUGUGAAAGCCCACGGCUCAACCGUGGAGGGUCAUUGGAAACUGGAGAACUUGAGUACAGAAGAGGAAAGCGGAAUUCCACGUGUAGCGGUGAAAUGCGUAGAGAUGUGGAGGAACACCAGUGGCGAAGGCGGCUUUCUGGUCUGUAACUGACGCUGAGGCGCGAAAGCGUGGGGAGCAAACAGGGAUUAGAUACCCUGGUAGUCCACGCCGUAAACGAUGAGUGCUAAGUGUUAGGGGGUUUCCGCCCCCUUAGUGCUGCAACUAACGCAUUAAGCACUCCGCCUGGGGAGUACGGCCGCAAGGCUG
rnacentral:rRNA from 1 species